AAAAGAAAAAAAGAAAAAAAGAAAUCAUAUAUGCCCUUACAACAUCCAUCACCUUUUGCUAUGUAUAAUACAUGGAUUACAACUAAAUUUUCUGCAUUUUAUGCCUUUUCAAACAAAUAACUCAUAAACACGCAAUAAAAAAUGACAACCCUUUAGCACAUGCAUUAUCCAUCACAAAUGGUGUCAAAGCUGUCGAAUAUUUCCCUGAGUGGACAUUCUGUAAAUGCAUCUCAAACAUGCAAAAUCAUAUAGAUUUUACAUUGUCCAAGUGCAUGAAAUGAAGAAUAAUGCUCUUGAUAUCAACUCAAAAUUUAAAAUUCAUUUUGAAAUAAAGUAUCAAUAAAAUUAGAAAACAUCUCUUCCAAUCUCCAAAUAGACUCAACUUUAUUAGCCAUAUGAUUUCCUUCCAUUUUAACUUCAUUCCUUCUAUUGCUUAUUCUCUUCAUCUAGAGAAAAUGAACUCAUCCCCACAAAUACUAUUAACAAAUAAGUAGUGAACACUAUUAGGGAAGAAAAAGGCCCACCAGAGGAACUAUCUCAAGCUUGACUGAUCUUCUAGCUUGAAAAUUUUUAAUAGUCAAUGAAUCUCCACAUGCAAACAAUUAUUGGAUGCCAUUUAUGGCACAACUUAGAAAAGUGAAAAUGCCAAAUCAGUACAAGGGAAAUAGAAUCUAGGUUUCCUUUAACAAUGUAGUGAUCGAAUAUAAGUUAUAAUCACUACAAGGACAUAAUGAUGCACUAUCCGCAAAGAAGAGCAUGGAUGCACGCACCUCAUGUAUGACCAAUCUGUCUGUGAGAGAACAGAUGUAAAAGUUUUCAUCUAGACAAUGGAAUACAUAAGAACAUAAAUAACAAGUUGGAAAGAAGAAAAUGGUACACAGAACCAAGUACAAUUAACACAUGUCAGCAUAAAUUGCAUUCACCCCAAACUUCAAAAUGGUUAGGCAU
rnacentral:misc_RNA from 1 species